CGACUUUAACGAAAUUAGAGAUCCUGAGAACUUAGAAGAAUGACCUAAAGCUGUAAAUAGCUGAGCACUCUUAUAGGGAUCUGAACUCUUUUUAUGAACCCUUUGAAUGGCCCACUCGAUUGAAUAUAAAGCUUCGUGAAUGGCUUGCAAAGGUGGUAUAUUACAAGCCAGAUUCGAUGCAAUGGCAGCUGUAAGAGAGCAACUUUCACCAUGUAUACUUUUCGUGGUAUUAUAUGGCUUCUCAAAUAUAUAGAACUCCUUUCCGUCAUAAAUCAGAUCGGCCGUCCAUGACUUGGAAUCUGGUUUUUCUGUAAUCAUCAUAUUUUUGUCAAAAGCAACAUGAUGGCCUCUCAGGACAACAAAUUUGGGUCCUAGCCGAUGAAUAAUGGACAUGAGAUUUUGAAUAUCAGGAAACGACUUUAGAGGAGGAGGUGACUUCUUUAAAGUCUUUUCAACGAGUAUAAAGGCUUCCAUUACAUUGGAUGCGUAAACGAGAAGAUGGGGGAAGAGAUGCUGUAUAGUAGCGGG